rnacentral:rRNA from 1 species
AUUGAACGCUGGCGGAAUGCUUUACACAUGCAAGUCGAGCGGCAGCGCGGGGGCAACCCUGGCGGCGAGCGGCGAACGGGUGAGUAACAUAUCGGAACGUACCCCGUCGUGGGGGAUAACUAUCCGAAAGGAUAGCUAAUGCCGCAUACGACCUGAGGGUGAAAGGGGGGGAUCGCAAGACCUCUCGCGAUGGGAGCGGCCGAUAUCGGAUUAGCUAGUUGGUGGGGUAAAGGCCUACCAAGGCGACGAUCCGUAGCUGGUCUGAGAGGACGACCAGCCACACUGGAACUGAGACACGGUCCAGACUCCUACGGGAGGCAGCAGUGGGGAAUUUUGGGACAAUGGGGGGCAACCCUGAUCCAGCCAUUCCGCGUGAGUGAAG